rnacentral:rRNA from 1 species
UCAAAUGAGAGUUUGAUCCUGGCUCAGAACGAACGCUGGCGGCGUGCCUAACACAUGCAAGUCGAACGGGGUCAUGUUUGUAGCAAUACAGGGAUGACUUA